UACGUAGGGUGCGAGCGUUGUCCGGAGUUACUGGGCGUAAAGCGCGCGCAGGCGGCGGUGUUGGCCCGGCGUGAAAGCCCCCGGCUCAACCGGGGAGGGUCGUCGGGGACCGCACCGCUUGAGGGCGGUAGGGGCUGGUGGAAUGCCUGGUGUAGUGGUGAAAUGCGUAGAGAUCAGGCGGAACACCCGUGGCGAAGGCGGCCAGCUGGGCCGUCCCUGACGCUGAGGAGCGAAAGCGUGGGGAGCGAACAGG
rnacentral:rRNA from 1 species